rnacentral:rRNA from 1 species
AUUGAACGCUGGCGGCAGGCCUAACACAUGCAAGUCGAGCGGUUGAAGGGAUCUUGCUCCUGGAUUCAGCGUCGGACGGGUGUGUAAUGCCUAGGAAUCUGCCUGGUUGUGGGGGAUAACGUCCGGAAACGGGCGCUUAUACCGCAUACGUCCUGAGUGAGAAAGUGGGGGAUCUUCGGACCUCUCGCUAUCAGAUGUGCCUAGGUCGGAUUAGAUAGUUGGUGGGGUAAAGGCCUACCAAGGCGACGAUCCGUCACUGGUCUGAGAGGAUGAUCAGUCAAACUGGAACUGAGACACGGUCCAGACGCCUACGGGAGGCAGCAGUGGGGAAUAUUGGACAAUGGGCGAAAGCCUGAUCCAGCCAUGCCGCGUGUGUGAAGAAGGUCUUCGGAUUGUAAAGCACUUUAAGUUGGGAGGAAGGGCAGUAAGUUAAUACCUGGCUGUAAUGACGUUACCAAAAGAAUAAGCACCGGCUAACUACGUG